rnacentral:rRNA from 1 species
GGCUAGCAUCGCAUCGUGCCCGUACAUGGUAGCCGUACGGACCGAUGGGAGCUUGCUCCCUGAUGUCAGCGGCGGACGGGUGAGUAACACGUGGGUAACCUGCCUGUAAGACUGGGAUAACUCCGGGAAACCGGGGCUAAUACCGGAUGCUUGAUUGAACCGCAUGGUUCAAUUAUAAAAGGUGGCUUUUACCUACCACUUACAAAUGGACCCGCGGCGCAUUACCUAGUUGGUGAGGUAACGGCUCACCAAGGCAACAAUGCGUACCCAACCUGAGAGGGUGAUCGGCCACACUGGGACUGAAACACGGCCCAAACUCCUACGGGAGGCAGCAGUAGGGAAUCUCCCGCAAUGGACAAAAGUCUGACGAACCACCGCCGCGUGAGUGAUGAAGGUUUUCGGAUCGUAAAACUCUGUUGUUAGGGAAAAACAAGUACCGUUCAAAUAGGGCGGUACCUUGACGGAACCUAAGGGAAUUCGUAGGUGGAAGGCGUUUCCCAAAUUAAUUGGGCGAAAAGCCGGCGCAGCCGUUUCUUAAUCUUAAUGGAACGCCCCCGCCUCCACGGGGAAGGGU